rnacentral:rRNA from 1 species
AGAUUGAACGCUGGCGGCAUGCUUUACACAUGCAAGUCGAACGGUAACAGGCCGCAAGGUGCCGACGAGUGGCGAACGGGUGAGUAAUGCAUCGGAACGUGCCCAGUCGUGGGGGAUAACGCAGCGAAAGCUGUGCUAAUACCGCAUACGAUCUAUGGAUGAAAGCGGGGGACCGAAAGGCCUCGCGCGAUUGGAGCGGCCGAUGUCAGAUUAGCUAGUUGGUGGGGUAAAGGCCCACCAAGGCGACGAUCUGUAGCUGGUCUGAGAGGACGACCAGCCACACUGGAACUGAGACACGGUCCAGACUCCUACGGGAGGCAGCAGUGGGGAAUUUUGGACAAUGGGCGCAAGCCUGAUCCAGCAAUGCCGCGUGCAGGAAGAAGGCCUUCGGGUUGUAAACGUGCUUUUGUACGGUAACGAAACGGUUACGUGGUUAAUACCGUACGGUCUAAGUGAACGGUACCGUAAAGAAUAAGCAACCGGACUAACUACGUGCCAGCAGCCGACGUAACG